GGUAUCUGCCUCUCAUACUCCAAAAGGCAAUGGGAAAGGAUAAUAGCAGUACACUAGCCUAUGCACUGUGAUUUCUGCUCUGUGCUCUGAAUGCCAAAGUGAAGAAACCGAAGCCUGGGUAAACAGUGGGAGUAACUAUGACUCUCUUAUGGUAGCCAAAUGCCUCGUUGUCUAAUUAGUGACACGCAUGAAUGGAUUAACAAGAUUCC
rnacentral:ncRNA from 1 species